rnacentral:rRNA from 1 species
CCUACGGGAGGCAGCAGUAGGGAAUAUUGCUCAAUGGGGGAAAGCCUGAAGCAGCAACGCCGCGUGGAGGAUGAAGGUUUUCUGAUUGUUAACUCCUUUUGUUAGAGAAGAUAAUGACGGUAUCUAACGAAUAAGCACCGGCUAACUCCGUGCCAGCAGCCGCGGUAAUACGGAGGGUGCAAGCGUUACUCGGAAUCACUGGGCGUAAAGGGCGCGUAGGCGGGAUAGCAAGUCAGAUGUGAAAUCCUAGGGCUUAACCAUAGAACUGCAUUUGAAACUGUUAUUCUAGAGUAUGGGAGAGGUAGGUGGAAUGCUUGGUGUAGCGGUAAAAUCCUUAGAGAUCAAGCAGAAUACUGAUUGCGAAGGCAGCCUGCUAGAACAUAACUGACGCUGAUGCGCGAAAGCGUGGGGAGCAAACAGGAUUAGAUACCCUUGUAGUC